AUAGUAGCAGAUUAUUAGUGUCUCUUUUGAUAGCCGCCACUAUCUGCUAGUUUAACAGCGAUUCUGGCUGCGGUUUUGAGAAGAGCUGCGGUAUAACUUAAUUUGGCAGUGAUUUGAACAAACCCGCCGCUAACCUGACUCUUUUAAGAUUUGGCCUCAACUUGCCCUCUUUCUGUUUCAUUCUAUUUUUCACUCUCCCUGUAUAUACUCAUUCCUCGACUUCUUUCGCUGUCGUCCCUAGUUGUUAUCUACUCCGACUUUCAUCCUAAACUUUUAUCAGCGCUGCUUCUGCCGAUGUCGAGGUCCUCUGUUUCAUCUCUUCCUCCGGAUCUGCUCGCCAUCUCGUUCUACGUGUGCGUUCUUCGAAUCUGCUGUAGAUGCAUGAGCGCCCUGCUUCUGUCGUCGCAUCCAGUCUGUGUCGCCGUCAGUCUUUCACCAUCACCAUCCAUCACUGGUCAUUGAUUUCAUUUUUUCACAUACAUUGCUGGAAUAGCAAAACGAGGUGAAUUCUUGAAAUUUGUCCAAUUAUACUAGCUAAUUGUGUUUGUUACAAAUCCAAUUUCUACUUUAGCCAAGGUUCUCAAAACCAAAUAAAUUGUGUUGAAAGAUAUCACCAGCGGAGCCCGGGCACACUCCGUUCCUUUGAAAAACCGGGUGAGUGUGAUCUUGUUGUUCGAAGCUAUAUCUGAAUCAGCAAAGGUAUGUCUUCUAAUUUACAUUUUAAUCCUUGCAAUGGUGGUUGCCCAGUGUUAGUCACUUAAUUUUGGAAUUUUUAUUUUGUACUCUUUAUUUUCCUCAAAAAUUGCUAUACUUUAUUGUAGGAAAUCAAGCAUGUGUUUCUUUACAAAGACUUGUGUAUCUUACUUCUUUAAAUAGCUAAAAUUAAACAUGAGGGAUUUGGAGAGGAAUUGUUCUGGUUUUGGUUGAUAGCUAUGCUGGAAAUAUCGACAUUCUAGAAGCAGAAUUUUCUGGAAUAAAAGUUGGUCUGAUGAAGGGAUACGAUCAUGCUAUUUGCUAGCCUGAUUUUGCUACUUGUCUGUAUUUCAAUGGAAAAUAUAGUUGUUGUAGCAUUACUUGCUACUUGGAUUGGAUCAUAGAUGAAUAGAUGAGUCCAUAGACCUUAUAUAUCAUUGAUGUUAUUGAAAAGUUUGAGAGAAAUAGUUUUUCAUAUUUUCCAAGAGUAAGAUUCCCUUCACCUUUUGUCGAACGGCAAAAAUUGAUGCACUUUCUUGUUCUGUAGUGAUGAACUGAUGAUCUCUCCUGGAGAGUUCGUGAUUCUUUCUAUAUUAAAUUUAACAUUUUAUGUUUUGUUUUGCUUAUUUUGCUUUCUUAGCAGAGGUUUGGCAAUGUUUCAAAUACUUCCAUCAAUCUAUUGAAUUAUUCUUUGUAGUGUGUAGUGUAGGACACAAUUAGUCAUGGGGCACCCCUUUAAAGACAAAUAGUCAAAGAUCAUGAAAAAAAUAAAUAAUAAGCAUAAGAACAAUUUUGUGGUUAGAAUAUCCAUCAAAUUAUUUUCUCUUAUGACUUAUAGAUGAAUGAAUAAUAUUUUUUUCUUUUGCUGAAUAAAUUAAUAUUAGUAAUUUGUUAUGACUCAGAUAAUAUGCAAGAUGACAGCUGGCUAGUUCAUACUGCAAGUUUAAUACUUAGUAAUACAUCAAAAGCAAUAAAUAAGCACACAUGCCAUCUCAAGAGGAAUGAAAAAUUAUUACUCAAUAUUUUCUUUAUUUGGAUUUUAUGUCAAUUUAUUUGUUGCUUUUUGUUUUGCAUUAUGCAUGAAAUCUAUUCAUACAGUGACGGGAAAGCUAGGUGAUGUUUUGGCAUGGCAAUAUCAAUCAAAUAUGUUGCUUAUUAAAUAAUAUUCUAGUGGCUACCGUAGCUGAUCAUAAUAGUGAGCAACUUGCAGGGUUUUGUGCUUUUAUAUUGGUAUCGCUUAGAUCAUCUUGUGGAAAGUAAGUAUUGGAAUUGAUUGUUGGCUAGUUAAUUUUCAAUCAACAUAUUUUUUCUUUUGUAGGUUUGUGGAGGAAAAUGCUAAAAAUAGAAAGCAAAUGGCCAUGGAGAUCUUGUAUGAUUCAGUUUCUGAAUGUGAUUUUUCGCUUAAGCAGAAGAGAUCAAUGGUGUCAGACAAAAGUGUAAAUAUAAAUUUUAGGCCAUAUGCCCACUUCCAAAGAAUUCCUACAUCUGAUGAAGACAAAGAUUCUGACUAGCUUCUUUGGGGAGCAUUUAUGGCCUCAUUCUUAUGGGUUGAUGGCAGGUCCUGCUUUGAUUGAUUUACACAAUAUUCGCCCUUCUGAUGUCAAUGUCAAAUCAUCAAGGGGAAAUAAGUAUUACGAUGAAUGCAUGACUAGUUCAAACAAAUGUUUGAGUCCAGCAAACAAAGAAGCUCUGUUGGACACUGAAACAAACAAGUAGGGGUGGACACCGCCUGCAAGGGUUAGAGGGGAUAUCGCAAGGGCUUUAAUGUACAUGGAAGUCACUUAUGGGUUUCAACAAUCAGGGGGAAAUCCAGGUCUUUGCCUCUCAGAUACUCCAAAUGUUGGGAGAUGGGGUUGCUUUCCGCUCUAUUAUCACAUGAAGUUUGCAUUUCUUGUUUGGCUACAGUAUAAAACGCACGAAUAUUGUAAUGUGUGUAGCUUUGUCUUAGUUGUGAGCUUUAAAUUUUCUAUUUUCUUUCAUUUUUCCUUUGUUUCCAUCAUUGUACAUAGGAAAUUUACAUAUUGUAUCCAAUAAGAAUAAUGUUCUUGUCUAUUGAACCUGGGAGU